AGUGUGCAUGAGAUCUACAACG
rnacentral:siRNA from 1 species